UUCAACGCCCCCGGUGGCCUGUUUCGUGGACGCCGCCAUUAGUCAGUCUGGUCUUUGGCUCCCAGCGGAACCGGAAGUCGGAAACCGGCUUGCGAGCGGCACGGGCGGCCCCGCGCCUGCGUUGAAUGGCAGAGGCAGCCAGCCGGCAAGAGAGGAAACAUAAGCAGAGGGAGUGGGAAAGGAAGAAGCAGGCUCCCAGCGGAGCAGGGAGCCCCAUGCGGGGCUCCAUCCCAGGACUCCAGGAUCAUGACUUGAGCCGAAGGCAGAUGCUUAACGACUGAGCCACCCAGGCGCCCCUCUCCCCAGUGUUGUGACAGAUUUUGGUGAGCCGAACUUACCUCUUUUUGUCACUAGAUGGUGCUAGCACAAACCCUUGGCCACCCUUAAUUUUCAAGGAGCUGCCAAUCACCUUGCUUUUGUAAACACCUUUUUGUUUGCUUUUUUAAACACAGUAUAUAUUACUGCCAGUAAAGUGUUUGAUUUCAUUAAGGACAUGGGCAUGUUUUUGAGUUUUUGAAACACUGUUCAUCAGAAAAAAAAAAAAAAGUCACCAGGCCUAGAAGGGGAGAGGCAGGCUCCUCCCAAUCCUGGGAUCCUUGAGAAGCAAAGAUAGGGGUGGGUCUGAUAAUGUUACAGGGGGCCUAAAAUACCUCAGAGAUGAGCCCAUAAAGAGGCAUUUUAGUUUGAUCCACUCUGGUGACUUUUUGAACCUGUGUCCAUUUUUCAUUUUUGAUUGGCCCAGACGAUCUGACAGUACUCAGCUCCUGGGCUUGGGGCCUGAGGCACCAGCCCCAACACCUCAAAUAACUAUAGCAGGACCCAAGAGCGUGCUCUACACUGCAGUUGACCAAGUUUUGGGGAGGCUGAUGCUCAUACGGUUGUGGGGGUGGGUGUGCUUGGUGGGUAGGGGAUGGGCUAGAUGGAGGAUGGGGACAAAGGACAGACUGAUGGCCCUUGGGAUGAGCCCUGGGUGUUGUAUGUAAGCGAUGAGUCAUUGAAUUCUACUCCAGAAACCACUAUUGCAUGGUAUGUUAACUAACUAGAAUUUAAAUAAAAAAAUUUUUAAACGAUUAUAAA